rnacentral:rRNA from 1 species
GCGUUCGUAGGUGAACCUGCGGAAGGAUCAUUGAAUCUAUCAAUACCAACACCUGUGAACCUUCAUUGUCCGGUCUGUUGGCUGCGCCUUCACUGGCCAGCCGAUGCGGGCUCAGGCACUUGAGCAAGUAUCGAGUGCCUGGCUCGGACCAUCAUAUAGUGCCUUAGUGCUUAUGUGAUGGUUGGCCUUUUACUAACCAUCAACACCAAACCUAAACCUUUAUCUAAUCUCAAUAUGAUGAACUGGCCUGGCCAAUUCAUUCUAACUGAGACAACUCUCAACAACGGAUAUCUUGGCUCUCGCAACGAUGAAGAACGCAGCGAAAUGCGAUACGUAGUGUGAAUUGCAGAAUUCCGUGAAUCAUCGAAUCUUUGAACGCAUAUUGCGCUCGAGGCUUCGGCCAAGAGCAUGUCUGCCUCAGCGUCGGGUUAAUAUCACAUACCCAAACACCUUGAUUGUGUGAUUGGGCUAUCAAUGUGGACUUGGCUGUUCCAGUUCAGUGCGAGUUGACUAUUGACUUAUAAUCAAUAAGACGCUCAUCAUGCACCCUGGAUCGGCUGAAGAACAGAGGCUAACAAGGACUCUUCAAGGGUCGCAACUGAGUAGGCACUUGUGCU